rnacentral:rRNA from 1 species
UACGAAGGGGGCUAGCGUUGUUCGGAAUUACUGGGCGUAAAGAGCGCGUAGGCGGAGAUCUAAGCGUGGCCUGAAAGCCCCCGGCUCAACCGGGGAGUGCGGCUGCGAACUGGGUUUCUUGAGGACGAUAGAGGAGAGUGGAAUUCCUGGUGUAGCGGUGAAAUGCGUAGAUAUCAGGAGGAACACCCGAGGCGAAGGCGGCUCUCUGGGUCGUACCUGACGCUGAGGCGCGAAAGCGUGGGGAGCGAACGGG